UCGCCCGUGUCGUGUCAUCAUCACCUUCAUCAUCAUCAUCAUCCUCGUCUACCGGCUUUGUGACUGUAUCUGACUAUGGUCGCCGUGAUUUUGCCAAAAAAACAGUGAAUUCAUGAACCGUGACAAUCGCGGGAUGGGAGAUCAGACAGCCCUGGAUUUUCUGCAAAGUACAACACGUACAGUCUUAUGGAUGAUGAUUCGGAUAAAAUUGUCCACUUUAAGUUGGUGCAGGUGA